GGAGAGAUGGAUGAGCGGUUUAAGUCGCACGCCUGGAAAGCGUGUAGGGGUUAACAGCCCCUCGGGGGUUCGAAUCCCCCUCUCUCCGCCA
rnacentral:tRNA from 1 species